AACUGGUCAAGAGCUGGAGUCAUUCCCCUGAUGAAUCCAUGAAUCAGGAUGAAACCAGUU
rnacentral:hammerhead_ribozyme from 1 species